CAGUAGCCACGGGAAUACGUAGGGACCAAGCGUUGUCCGGAAUCAUUGGGCGUAAAGCGCGCGUAGGUGGCCAUUUAAGUCCGCUGUGAAAGUCAAAGGCUCAACCUUUGAAAGCCGGUGGAUACUGGAUGGCUAGAGUACGGAAGAGGCGAGUGGAAUUCCUGGUGUAGCGGUGGAAUGCGCAGAUAUCAGGAGGAACACCAAUAGCGAAGGCAGCUCGCUGGGACGUUACUGACACUAAGGCGCGAAAGCGUGGGGAGCGAACAGGAUUAGAUACCCCGGUAGUCCCUGUCUCUUAUAA
rnacentral:rRNA from 1 species